rnacentral:lncRNA from 1 species
CAAUCCAUAUAGGGAACAAUUUUGUAAUUGCAGGUUGCAGUGAUUUGUUCUUCUGGCUUGGGGAGGAAGCGUACAGACAGCAGAGGGAGAAGAUGAUACACCGAAAAUGGAGUCUACUAACUGGUCCAGUGGCAAUCUUGGGCGGGAUCGUUGCAACGGUGGUCGUCGCCAACUUAAUCUUCGUUAAGGAUGUAAAGUUCUCUUCUCUUUUCCUUCGAUUUCCAAACCCUAGAUUUUAUAUUUGAGUUUUGGUAUCGGGGGAAUCGAAGGAUGUAUUUUCAUUUAAGAUUUCGAUUGAAAUUAUUCAUUGGAAUGAUUUGCAUUCGGUUUUAUUCGUCAUUCUUAUAUCUAAAUCGUAGGAGACAUCUAAACCUUUUGGCUAUUCGAUCGUGUCUCUGAUCGUAAUCGUAAAAAUUAGAUUUGUUUAACUUAGUUGUGAAUUAAGAAUAACACUUUUUGAAUGAUUGUGGGAGCUAUCAUUCUUUGUUAAAAUAAAGAGCGUCGCUCUCUGUUUAACUUCUGUUCAAAAAAUAUUAAAUGGAAAAACCUGUUCUGUCAUUCUUUAGAUGUUGUUAAUUAUUAGCUAGGUAGUUGAGUUUCUUUGCUGCAAUGAAAGCGCCAGUAGAGCCAGUAAGCAACGUGCACACCUGCUACACAUUUUUUACUUGAACUAAUUUCUUUAGCUGGAUUAUUUCAUAAACUGCUAGUUAUUCAAACCAAAGCUUUUUAUGCAGGGCGUAACCAUACACAUGCUAACACAUUGCGAUAUAUUUGAAAUUUGCAGGACCCAUUUCUUAAACCAAAGAAAAAGAACCAAGAUUCACCACCAUCAACCAAAUAGAACAGAAGCAAAGUGAAUUGCUUAAUGGAUGUGUUGUAAGCUUUUCAGGUGGUUUGUGUUUGUUGAUUAUUUUUCUAGCGAAACAAAUGUUUAAGCUGCAUUUUGGUACAAGGCUCUUCUUAGUUCAAUAAAGUGGAGUUCAUGAUCAAGUUUAGUAAUUUCUCUUCAUUAUGUUCACCAAAUUGCUGUUGUUAAAUCUUGAUUGAGCUACCAUGAGAGCAAGAAAAAGCAAAAUUCAGCUGUUUUUCCUUGUUCAGUAAUGAUAAUUUUUGGGGUAGAUUGCCGAGUAGGAAUACUAUGAAUUUCUGCGUCGUGUUAGCGUAUAUCCACUUUUAAUUCAUCAAGAAUGGUUAUUAAUAAUUGAUAUGGUAAAUUUUAUUCUCUUAAAAAGAAAAAUCUUAGUAUCUUCUGGGUAUAUGAUUCACUGGUAAACGUUAUUAUUAUUAUUAUGAUUGCCUUUCAAUCCUGAGAAAGACUCCAACCCCCCUUUUCAUAGGCUGGAUGUAGCUAUUUCCACUACUCCAUGAUAAGCUUGCGUUUGAAUUAACCUUCACUGCGACAGGUGAUGAGUUGUGACUACGGUUAGGUGUGAAAAAAUAUCUUUCAUUUGACCAUCAAUGCAUGUGAUUUACAUAAAGUUAACACGUAAUUUUUCUGUAUGUUUCAGGGGAAAAUAAUCUAAGGAGUAAUUUUUCCUGAAGAAAAAGGGAAAGAGGUAAAAAUAUGAUGUAUAAACAAUGGUACAAUGAAAUAAUAUGCCCCAAAGAAUCACAAUCUCUCCCUUCACAUAUGCGAACUGCCUGGUGAG